rnacentral:rRNA from 1 species
GGAGCUUGCUCCUUUGACGUUAGCGGCGGACGGGUGAGUAACACGUGGAUAACCUACCUAUAAGACUGGGAUAACUUCGGGAAACCGGAGCUAAUACCGGAUAACAUAUUGAACCGCAUGGUUCAAUAGUGAAAGGCGGCUUUGCUGUCACUUAUAGAUGGAUCCGCGCCGUAUUAGCUAGUUGGUAAGGUAACGGCUUACCAAGGCAACGAUACGUAGCCGACCUGAGAGGGUGAUCGGCCACACUGGAACUGAGACACGGUCCAGACUCCUACGGGAGGCAGCAGUAGGGAAUCUUCCGCAAUGGGCGAAAGCCUGACGGAGCAACGCCGCGUGAGUGAUGAAGGUCUUCGGAUCGUAAAACUCUGUUAUCAGGGAAGAACAAAUGUGUAAGUAACUGUGCACAUCUUGACGGUACCUGAUCAGAAAGCCACGGCUAACUACGUGCCAGCAGCCGCGGUAAUACGUAGGUGGCAAGCGUUAUCCGGAAUUAUUGGGCGUAAAGCGCGCGUAGGCG